rnacentral:rRNA from 1 species
GACGAACGCUGGCGGUAGGCCUAACACAUGCAAGUCGAGCGGAGCGGCGGACGGGUGAGUAAUGCCUAGGAAUCUGCCUGGUAGUGGGGGAUCACGUCCGGAAACGUGCGCUAAUACCGCAUACUAUCAGAUGAGCCUAGGUCGGAUUAGCUAGUUGGUGGGGUAAAGGCCUACCAAGGCGACGAUCCGUUACUGGGCUGAGAGGAUGAUCAGUCAAAGUGGGACUGAGACACGGGCCAGGCUCCUGCGGGAGGCAGCAGGGGGGAAUAUUGGACAAUGGGCGAAAGCCUGAUCCAGCCAUGCCGCGGGUGUGAAGAAGGUCUUCGGAUUGUAAAGCACUGUAAGUUGGGAAGCGUUAACAACAGAAUAAGCACCGGCUAACUUCGUGCCAGCCGCCGCGGUAAUUC